UACGGGGGGGAGCAAGCGUUGUUCGGAUUUACUGGGCGUAAAGGGCGCGUAGGCGGUCGUGACAAGUCACUUGUGAAAUCUCCGGGCUUAACUCGGAACGGUCAACUGAUACUGCUCGGCUAGAGUGCGGAAGGGGCAACUGGAAUUCUUGGUGUAGCGGUGAAAUGCGCAGAUAUCAGGAGGAACACCUAUUGCGAAGGCAGCUCGCUGGGACGUAACUGACGCUGAGACGCGAAAAGCGUGGGGAGCAAACAGG
rnacentral:rRNA from 1 species